UACUAGAGUAGCACUCGCAUAUCAAUAAGCGGAGGAAAAGAAACUAACAAGGAUUCCCCUAGUAACGGCGAGUGAAGCGGGAAGAGCUCAAAUUUGAAAUCUUAAAGGGUUUCCCUUUACGAAUUGUAGUUUAAAGAAGUGUUUUCUGUUGAGGUUUUGGUAAAAGUUCUUUGGAAUAGGACAUCAUAGAGGGUGAGGAAUCCCGUAUUUGACCUUUACUUUCAACUUUGUGAUACACUUUCAAAGAGUCGGAUUGUUUGGGAAUGCAGUCCAAAAUGGGUGGUAAAUUUCAUCUAAAGCUAAAUAUCGGCGAGAGACCGAUAGCGAACAAGUACCGUGAGGGAAAGAUGAAAAGAACUUUGAAAAGAGAGUUAAACAGUACGUGAAAUUGUCAAAAGGGAAGCGUUUGACACCAGUGUUGUUUUUCUGAAAAUCAAUUAAAGAACUGUUUAUGCUAAGUUGUUUAGACUUUAUCAGCUAACUGUUUAGUUUUGAGCUUUUCUUUAAUGCACUUUUCAGUUAACAAGUCAACAUCAAUUUCUUUUGCUGUAAAAAAGCUUGAGGAAGGUGGCUUGAGAUUCGUCUUAAGUGUUUAUAGCCUCUUGCCUAUGCAGUCGGAGAGAUUGAGGUCUGCAGCGUAGAUCCUUCGGGGCUAAAUGCAUUUGUGCUAAGUUAUAGCAUUUUAUAGACAACUUGUUGACUAUGAUUUGUCUUGUAGCUUACUCGCUUAUGUUAUUUUACCUACGCUUAGGAUGUUGAGCGCAUGUCUCUCUCU
rnacentral:rRNA from 1 species